rnacentral:tRNA from 1 species
GGGGAUGUGGCUCAAGUGGUAGCGCGCUCGCCUGGCAAGCAUGAGGCCCUGGGUUCGAUUCUCAGCACCA